rnacentral:rRNA from 1 species
GACAGGCUUAACACAUGCAAGUCGAGGGGCAGCGGUGGUGAAGGCUUGCCUUUACCAGCCGGCGACCGGCGCACGGGUGAGUAACACGUAUGCAACCUGCCUGCCACAGCCGGAUAAUCGGGAGAAAUUCCGUCUAAUACGGCAUAAUGCACCUAUGGGACAUCCUGUUGGUGCCAAAGGUUGAUUCCGGUGGCGGAUGGGCAUGCGUCGCAUUAGUUAGUUGGCGGUGUAACGGACCACCAAGACGACGAUGCGUAGGGGUUCUGAGAGGAAGGUCCCCCACACUGGUACUGAGACACGGACCAGACUCCUACGGGAGGCAGCAGUGAGGAAUAUUGGUCAAUGGGCGGGAGCCUGAACCAGCCAAGUCGCGUGAGGGAUGACGGCCCUAUGGGUUGUAAACCUCUUUUGCCGGGGAGCAAAGUGCCGCACGUGUGCGGUUUGGAGAGUACCCGGAGAAAAAGCAUCGGCUAACUCCGUGCCAGCAGCCGCGGUAAUACGGAGGAUGCGAGCGUUAUCCGGAUUUAUUGGGUUUAAAGGGUGCGUAGGCGGACGCUUAAGUCAGCGGUAAAAUUGCGGGGCUCAACCUCGUCGAGCCGUUGAAACUGGGUGCCUUGAGUGGGCGAGAAGUACGCGGAAUGCGUGGUGUAGCGGUGAAAUGCAUAGAUAUCACGCAGAACUCCGAUUGCGAAGGCAGCGUACCGGCGCCCAACUGACGCUGAAGCACGAAGGCGUGGGUAUCGAACAGGAUUAGAUACCCUGGUAGUCCACGCAGUAAACGAUGAAUGCUAGUUGUCCGGGGCGAUUGAGUUCUGGGUGACACAGCGAAAGCGUUAAGCAUUCCACCUGGGGAGUACGCCGGCAACGGUGAAACUCAAAGGAAUUGACGGGGGCCCGCACAAGCGGAGGAACAUGUGGUUUAAUUCGAUGAUACGCGAGGAACCUUACCCGGGCUCAAACGCAGGAGGGAUGUUUUUGAAAGGAGGCAGCCAGCAAUGGUCUCCUGCGAGGUGCUGCAUGGUUGUCGUCAGCUCGUGCCGUGAGGUGUCGGCUUAAGUGCCAUAACGAGCGCAACCCCUACCUACAGUUGCCAUCGCGUGAUGGCGGGCACUCUGUGGGGACUGCCUGCGCAAGCAGUGAGGAAGGCGGGGAUGACGUCAAAUCAGCACGGCCCUUACGUCCGGGGCGACACACGUGUUACAAUGGCAGGUACAGCGGGAAGCCACCCGGCGACGGGGCGCGGAACCCGAAAACCUGUCUCAGUUCGGAUUGGAGUCUGCAACCCGACUCCAUGAAGCUGGAUUCGCUAGUAAUCGCACAUCAGCCACGGCGCGGUGAAUACGUUCCCGGG